AGCAGCCGCGGUAAUUCCAGCUCCAAUAGCGUAUAUUAAAGUUGUUGCAGUUAAAAAGCUCGUAGUUGAACCUUAGGCCCGUGCGGGCGGUCCGUCCUCUGGGCGAGCACUGCUUCGUCGCGGGUCUCACCUUCUGGCGAGCGUGGAUGCCAUUUAUUUGGUGUCCGCGGGAACCAGGACCUUUACCUUGAAAAAAUUAGAGUGCUCAAAGCGGGCUCCGACGCUUGAAUACAUUAGCAUGGAAUAAUGAAAUAGGACGAUGGUUCUAUUUUGUUGGUUUCCGGGACGGUCGUAAUGAUUAAUAGGGAUAGUUGGGGGCAUUCGUAUUCAAUUGUCAGAGGUGAAAUUCUUGGAUUUAUUGAAGACGAACUACUGCGAAAGCAUUUGCCAAGGAUGUUUUCAUUAAUCAAGAACGAAAGUUGGGGGAUCGAAGACGAUCAGAUACCGUCGUAGUCUCAACC
rnacentral:rRNA from 1 species